GACGUAGGAUGCAAGCGUUGUCCGGAAUUAUUGGGCGUAAAGAGCGCGUAGGCGGUCCGAUAAGUCGGCUGUGAAAGUCAGGGGCUCAACCCUUGAAAGCCGGCCGAUACUGUCGGACUAGAGUCCGGAAGAGGCAAGUGGAAUUCCCGGUGUAGCGGUGAAAUUCGUAGAUAUCGGGAGGAACACCGGUGGCGAAGGCGGCGACCUGGGUAGAUACUGACGCUGAGGUGCGAAAGCGUGGGGAGCAAACAGG
rnacentral:rRNA from 1 species